AAAAAAUGCGAUUAUUUAAAAAAAAAAUCGGAUUUCAAACCCCAUAAAAUAAUUGAUUCUAAAAUUACUUAUACUAUGUUUCAUCGUUCCUUCCACUGCAUUUGUGUGUUUCCUCGUUUCUUCCACUAACUGAAACAACAUUCAUAACCCAUAUCCAUUCUUACUUUCUUAGGCAAUUGAGUUAUGCAUGCCUUAAGACCAACAUACUGCAAAA
rnacentral:lncRNA from 1 species